rnacentral:rRNA from 1 species
UUCUGGCUCAGGAUGAACGCUAGCGACAGGCUAACACAUGCAAGUCGAGGGCAGCAUAAAAGUAGCAAUACUUGGUGGCGACCGGCGCACGGGUGAGUAACGCGUAUGCAACCUACCUAUCAGAGGGGAAUAACCCGGCGAAAGUCGGACUAAUACCGCAUAAAACAGGGGCACCGCAUGGUGAUAUUGUUAAAGAAAUUCGCUGAUAGAUGGGCAUGCGUUCCAUUAGGUAGUUGGUGAGGUAACGGCUCACCAAGCCGACGAUGGAUAGGGGAACUGAGAGGUUGGUCCCCCACACUGGUACUGAGACACGGACCAGACUCCUACGGGAGGCAGCAGUGAGGAAUAUUGGUCAAUGGGCGGGAGCCUGAACCAGCCAAGUCGCGUGAAGGAAGAAGGAUCUAUGGUUCGUAAACUUCUUUUGCAGGGGAAUAAAGUGCAGGACGUGUCCUGUUUUGUAUGUACCCUGAGAAUAAGGAUCGGCUAACUCCGUGCCAGCCGCGGC